rnacentral:rRNA from 1 species
AUUGAACGCUGGCGGCGUGCCUAACACAUGCAAGUCGAGCGGUAACAGGUGUAGCAAUACAUGCUGACGAGCGGCGAACGGGUGAGUAAUGCUUCGGAAUCUACCCAAUGGUGGGGAAUAACCAGCCGAAAGGUUGGCUAAUACCGCAUACGUCCCACGGGAGAAAGCAGGGAUCGCAAGACCUUGCGCCAAUGGAUGAGCCGAAGUCGGAUUAGCUAGUUGGAGGGUAACGGCCUACCAAGGCGACGAUCCGUAGCUGGUCUGAGAGGACGACCAGCCACACUGGGACUGAGACACGGCCCAGACUCCUACGGGAGGCAGCAGUGGGGAAUAUUGGACAAUGGGGGAAACCCUGAUCCAGCGACGCCGCGUGUGUGAAGAAGGCCUGCGGGUUGUAAAAGCACUUUUUAGUGGGGAUGAAAUGUUCAGGGUUAACACCUCU